GGGAAUGUGGCUUAGUGGAAAAGUGCUUGCCUAGCAUGCAUGAAGCCCUGGGUUCGAUUCCUCAGUACCA
rfam:Dipodomys ordii contig_1372, whole genome shotgun sequence.